AUGAACGCUGGCGGCGUGCCUAAUACAUGCAAGUCGAGCGAACAGACGAGGAGCUUGCUCCUCUGACGUUAGCGGCGGACGGGUGAGUAACACGUGGAUAACCUACCAAUAAGACUGGGAUAACUUCGGGAAACCGGAGCUAAUACCGGAUAAUAUAUUGAACCGCAUGGUUCAAUAGUGAAAGACGGUUUUGCUGUCACUUAUAGAUGGAUCCGCGCCGCAUUAGCUAGUUGGUAAGGUAACGGCUUACCAAGGCAACGAUGCGUAGCCGACCUGAGAGGGUGAUCGGCCACACUGGAACUGAGACACGGUCCAGACUCCUACGGGAGGCAGCAGUAGGGAAUCUUCCGCAAUGGGCGAAAGCUUGACGGAGCAACGCCGCGUGAGUGAUGAAGGUCUUCGGAUCGUAAAACUCUGUUAUUAGGGAAGAACAAAUGUGUAAGUAACUAUGCACGUCUUGACGGUACCUAAUCAGAAAGCCACGGCUAACUACGUG
rnacentral:rRNA from 1 species